rnacentral:rRNA from 1 species
AUUGAACGCUGGCGGCAUGCCUUACACAUGCAAGUCGAACGGCAGCACGGGUGCUUGCACCUGGUGGCGAGUGGCGAACGGGUGAGUAAUACAUCGGAACAUGUCCUGUAGUGGGGGAUAGCCCGGCGAAAGCCGGAUUAAUACCGCAUACGAUCUACGGAUGAAAGCGGGGGACCUUCGGGCCUCGCGCUUUCGGGUUGGCCGAUGGCUGAUUAGCUAGUUGGUGGGGUAAAGGCCUACCAAGGCGACGAUCAGUAGCUGGUCUGAGAGGACGACCAGCCACACUGGGACUGAGACACGGCCCAGACUCCUACGGGAGGCAGCAGUGGGGAAUUUUGGACAAAGGGCGAAAGCCUGAUCCAGCAAUGCCGCGUGUGUGAAGAAGGCCUUCGGGUUGUAAAGCACUUUUGUCCGGAAAGAAAUCCUUGGCCCUAAUACGGUCGGGGGAUGACGGUACCGGAAGAAUAAGCACCGGCUAACUACGUG